GUCGUGAAGGUGUUGAUUGUCCUGACCCCACAGUUUCUGUCCCGUGACAAGGACCAGCUGACCAAGGAGCUGCAGCAGCAUGUAAAGUCAGUGACAGUCUCAUGCAAGUCCCCAAGGAAGAUGGAGUUUGUCCCGGAGCUGCCGAAAACUGUCACUGGAAAGAUUAAACAAGGUGAACUUGAGAAAAGGAGCUUGGUCAGAUGAUAUCGUCAAUUUUCUGCCUGGGCAUUUUCAUCCCGGGCCUGACUUUUUUGGAAUUCCUUGGAUGCUUAUCAUUAUUGUUGUGUCCCUGGGAAUUUACAAACUUGCCAUUUUCUUCUGCAAAACUAGCCUUGGUGUGAGUACCAAGUCUGUCUUACAGUCACAAAAUGUCAAUGACAGAACACGGAUUUACAGGGGAAAGCCUGCAGGUCCAAUAGCCGUAGCCAGGAAGAAGGGCUCAGGUCCACUUAUAUGCACACGAAUAGAAGGAUUUUAUCCUUUGCAGGAAUUAAAAUGGACCCAAAAUACCUCUUUACAUUAUGGAGAUCUACAGAAGCUAAAGUGCAAGCCAAAGUCCAAAAGGUGAUGAUGAAGGUCAACAGUCAUUGCGAAAUCUCUGGGCAAAGAAAGACUGCCGAGGAAGAGUAAGAUGU
rnacentral:lncRNA from 1 species